CACGUAGGGGGCAAGCGUUGUCCGGAUUUAUUGGGCGUAAAGAGCGUGUAGGCGGCCAGACAGGUCUGCUGUGAAAACUCGAGGCUCAACCUCGAGAUGUCGGCGGAAACCGUCUGGCUAGAGUCCGGAAGAGGAGACUGGAAUUCCUGGUGUAGCGGUGGAAUGCGCAGAUAUCAGGAGGAACACCGAUGGCGAAGGCAGGUCUCUGGGCCGCAACUGACGCUGAGGAGCGAAAGCAUGGGGAGCGAACAGG
rnacentral:rRNA from 1 species